rnacentral:rRNA from 1 species
CCUACGGGUGGCUGCAGUGGGGAAUAUUGGGCAAUGGGCGCAAGCCUGACCCAGCAACGCCGCGUGAAGGAAGAAGGCUUUCGGUUGGUAAGCUUCUUUUCUCAGGGACGAAGAAAGUGACGGUACCUGAGGAAUGAGCCACGGCGAACUACGUGCCAGCAGCCGCGGUAAUACGUAGGUGGCAAGCGUUAUCCGGAUUUAUUGGGUGUAAAGGGCGUGUAGGCGGGGGCGCAAGUCAGAGGUGAAAACUCAGGGCUCAACCUUGAGCCUGCAGUUGAAACUGUGUGUCUUGAGUGCUGGAGAGGCAAUCGGAAUUCCGGGUGUAGCGGUGAAAUGCGUAGAUAUACGGAGGAACACCAGUGGCGAAGGCGGAUUGCUGGACAGUAACUGACGCUGAGGCGCGAAAGCGUGGGGAGCAAACAGGAUUAGAUACCCUUGUAGUC